UUACUUACCUGGACGGGGUCAACAGGCGAUCAAGAAGGCUUGUGGCCUAGAUGAAUGAUUCACAUUGCACUUGGUGAUUGUGUUGGUCUACCAGCUCCCCAAGUGGGAGAAUGGACAUCAUAAUUUGUGAUAGAGGGGGUACGCGUUCGCGCGGCCCCUA
rnacentral:snRNA from 1 species